rnacentral:rRNA from 1 species
GAUGAACGCUAGCUACAGGCUUAACACAUGCAAGUCGCGGGGUAACAUCUGGUAGAGCUUGCUCUUCCAGGAUGACGACCGGCGCACGGGUGAGUAACGCGUAUCCAACCUGGCCCAUACCACGGGAUAGCCCGUCGAAAGGCGGAUUAAUACCGUAUGCUGUCAUUAAGAUGCAUAUAUUGAUGACGAAAGGACUGGCGGUAUGGGAUGGGGAUGCGUCUGAUUAGCUUGUUGGCGGGGUAACGGCCCACCAAGGCGACGAUCAGUAGGGGUUCUGAGAGGAAGGUCCCCCACAUUGGAACUGAGACACGGUCCAAACUCCUACGGGAGGCAGCAGUGAGGAAUAUUGGUCAAUGGGCGAGAGCCUGAACCAGCCAAGUAGCGUGCAGGACGACGGCCCUAUGGGUUGUAAACUGCUUUUAUAAGGGAAUAAAGUGAGUCUCGUGAGGCUUUUUGCAUGUACCUUAUGAAUAAGGACCGGCUAAUUCCGUGCCAG